rnacentral:lncRNA from 1 species
GAUUCUCGUGCCUCAACUUUCCAAGUAGCUGGGAUUACAGUGACUUUGGGAGCUGUAUGCUGAAAUAGGGACAUUGAAAGAUGAGGAAAUUAUGGAUCUCCAAGUCACUAGAUGGAAGACAGCACGUCAAAAACUUUAUAAGGAAGAAGUAAGCUCUUCUUGUGCUAAGCCAAGAGUUGGCAAACUAUGACCCAUGAGCCAAAUAUGGCAUACUUUGUAUGGUUUGCAUGCUAAGAAUGGUUUUUAAAUUUUUACACAGUUGGGGAAAGACAAGCCAAAGAAGAAUAAUAUAUUGUGAUAUGUGAAGUUAUGUGAAAUUCACCCUCAAUGACCACAAAAAAACUUUUUUUUUUUUUUGAGACAGUGUCACCCAGGCUGGAGUGCUGUGGUAUGAUCUUAGCUUACUGCAACCUCCACCUCCUGAGUUCAAGUGAUUCUCCUGCCUCAGCCUCCCAAGUAGCUGGGAUUAUAGGCACGCACCACCACGCUCAGCUAUUUUUUGUAUUUUUAGUAAAGACAGGGUUUCACCAUGUUGGCCAGGCUGGUCUCGAACUC